ACUACGGGUGGCAGCAGUGGGGAAUAUUGGGCAAUGGGCGCAAGCCUGACCCAGCAACGCCGCGUGAAGGAAGAAGGCUUUCGGGUUGUAAACCUCUUUUGGCAGGGACGAAGCAAGUGACGGUACCUGACGAGUAAGCCACGGCUAACUACGUGCCAGCAGCCGCGGUAAUACGUAGGUGGCAAGCGUUAUGCGGAUUUAUUGGGUGUAAAGGUCGUGUAGGCGGGAAUGCAAGUCAGAUGUGAAAACUAUGGGCUCAACCCAUAGCCUGCCUUUGAAACUGUAUUUCUUGAGUGCUGGAGAGGAGAGCGGAAUUCCGGGUGUAGCGGUGAAAUGCGUAGAUAUCGGGAGGAACACCAGUGGCGAAGGCGGAUUGCUGGACAGUAACUGACGCUGAGGCGCGAAAGCGUGGGGAGCAAACAGGAUUAGAUACCCCAGUAGUC
rnacentral:rRNA from 1 species